rfam:Treponema porcinum strain ATCC BAA-908 genome assembly, contig: EI69DRAFT_scaffold00016.16
GGAAAGAUGUCCGAGCGGUUUAAGGUACACCCUUGGAAGGGGUGCGUACCCACAAGGUACCGGGGGUUCGAAUCCCCCUCUUUCCG